GUCAAGAUGGCCGAGUGGUCUAAGGCGCUGCAUUCAAGCUGCAGUAUCGAAAGAUUCUUGGGUUCGAAUCCCAAUCUUGACA